UAGUGGCGAACGGGUGAGUAACACGUGGGCAAUCUGCCCUUCACUCUGGGACAAGCCCUGGAAACGGGGUCUAAUACCGGAUAUCACCUCCACUCGCAUGGGUGGGGGUCGAAAGCUCCGGCGGUGAAGGAUGAGCCCGCGGCCUAUCAGCUUGUUGGUGAGGUAAUGGCUCACCAAGGCGACGACGGGUAGCCGGCCUGAGAGGGCGACCGGCCACACUGGGACUGAGACACGGCCCAGACUCCUACGGGAGGCAGCAGUGGGGAAUAUUGCACAAUGGGCGAAAGCCUGAUGCAGCGACGCCGCGUGAGGGAUGACGGCCUUCGGGUUGUAAACCUCUUUCAGCAGGGAAGAAGCGAAAGUGACGGUACCUGCAGAAGAAGCGCCGGCUAACUACGUGCCAGCAGCCGCGGUAAUACGUAGGGCGCAAGCGUUGUCCGGAAUUAUUGGGCGUAAAGAGCUCGUAGGCGGCUUGUCACGUCGGGUGUGAAAGCCCGGGGCUUAACCCCGGGUCUGCAUUCGAUACGGGCUAGCUAGAGUGUGGUAGGGGAGAUCGGAAUUCCUGGUGUAGCGG
rnacentral:rRNA from 1 species